CCUUGUGGAGGAGGACGCCGAAGGUGGGGCUAAUGACUGGGGUGAAGUCGUAACAAGGUAGCCGUACCGGAAGGUGCGGCUGGAUCACCUCCUAACAGGGAGACAACAAAAUGUUUAAUAUUAUUAUUUUGUCACCUUAGGUCGAUCGGUAUCUCACAUUCUUAAUUUAUUAAGGAUUUUAUUUCCUAAGUUUUUUCUAGGUCACACCCAUUACUUUUCCUGGGCCAUUAGCUCAGGUGGUUAGAGCGCACCCCUGAUAAGGGUGAGGUCCCUGGUUCAAGUCCAGGAUGGCCCAUAUCUCUAUGUUGGGGGUAUAGCUCAGUUGGUAGAGCGCCUGCUUUGCAAGCAGGAUGUCAGCGGUUCGAGUCCGCUUACCUCCACUGAUUACCACCUCUUCCAUAAUUUUUAUUAAGGAAAUGUUUUGAGUAGUGAUCAAAUUCUGAACGAAUCUAGCUUCCUAAUGAAUUCAUUAAGAUGCUGGACUCAUUGAAUUAUUUUCAUUGUUUUCAGAGAACCUUGACAACUGCAUAGAUUAUUUUUAAAGACAAUAAGCAUCUUUAUGAUGCAGAUUUAUUAUUUGUGCGAAUGCAUUAAUAACAAUUCUAUUAAGCUGAUGCUUCAAUUAUGAAGUUAUUGGUCAAGCUACAAAGGGCUCACGGAGGAUACCUAGGCACACAGAGGC
rnacentral:misc_RNA from 1 species